GACGAACGCUGGCGGCGUGCUUAACACAUGCAAGUCGAACGGAAAGGCCCUGCUUUUGUGGGGUGCUCGAGUGGCGAACGGGUGAGUAACACGUGAGUAACCUGCCCUUGACUUUGGGAUAACUUCAGGAAACUGGGGCUAAUACCGGAUAGGAGCUCCUGCUGCAUGGUGGGGGUUGGAAAGUUUCGGCGGUUGGGGAUGGACUCGCGGCUUAUCAGCUUGUUGGUGGGGUAGUGGCUUACCAAGGCUUUGACGGGUAGCCGGCCUGAGAGGGUGACCGGCCACAUUGGAACUGAGAUGCGACACGGACCACAACGGGAGGCAGCGGUGGAGAAGAUUGCACAAUGGGCGGAGGCCAGAUGCAGCAACGCCGCGUGCGGGAUGAGGGGAAGCGGGUUGUAAACCGCUUUCGCCUGUGACGGAGCGUGAGUGACGGUAAUGGGUAAAGAAGCACCGGCUAACUACGUG
rnacentral:rRNA from 1 species